UACGUAGGGUGCAAGCGUUAAUCGGAAUUACUGGGCGUAAAGCGUGCGCAGGCGGUCCGCUAAGACAGAUGUGAAAUCCCCGGGCUUAACCUGGGAACUGCAUUUGUGACUGGCGGGCUAGAGUAUGGCAGAGGGGGGUAGAAUUCCACGUGUAGCAGUGAAAUGCGUAGAGAUGUGGAGGAAUACCGAUGGCGAAGGCAGCCCCCUGGGCCAAAACUGACGCUCAGGCACGAAAGCGUGGGGAGCAAACAGG
rnacentral:rRNA from 1 species